UGGUUCAAGUCCAUUGAGCUUUGUGAGCCAC
rnacentral:piRNA from 1 species